rnacentral:rRNA from 1 species
UUAGGAAUAUUUGUCAAUGGGGGAAACCCUGAACGAGCAAUGCCGCGUGAGUGAUGAAGGUCUUUGGAUUGUAAAACUCUGUUGUAUGGGAAGAAUGUUGGUAUUAGGAAAUGAAUGCCAAGUGACGGUACCAUGCGAGAAAGCCCCGGCUAACUACGUGCCAGCAGCCGCGGUAAUACGUAGGGGGCGAGCGUUAUCCGGAUUUAUUGGGCGUAAAGCGUGCGUAGGCGGUUUAUUAAGUUUAAGAUAAAAGCCCGGGGCUUAACUCCGGUUCGUCUUAAAAACUGGUAAACUUGAGUAUGGUAGAGGCAAACGGAAUUUCUAGUGUAGCGGUGAAAUGCGUAGAUAUUAGAAGGAACACCAGUGGCGAAGGCGGUUUGCUGGGCCAAAACUGACGCUGAGGCACGAAAGCGUGGGUAGCAAAUAGG